AGUGAACGCUGGCGGUAGGCCUAACACAUGCAAGUCGAACGGCAGCACAGUAAGAGCUUGCUCUUACGGGUGGCGAGUGGCGGACGGGUGAGGAGUACAUCGGAAUCUACUUUUUCGUGGGGGAUAACGUAGGGAAACUUACGCUAAUACCGCAUACGACCUACGGGUGAAAGCAGGGGAUCUUCGGACCUUGCGCGAUUGAAUGAGCCGAUGUCGGAUUAGCUAGUUGGCGGGGUAAGGGCCCACCAAGGCGACGAUCCGUAGCUGGUCUGAGAGGAUGAUCAGCCACACUGGAACUGAGACACGGUCCAGACUCCUACGGGAGGCAGCAGUGGGGAAUAUUGGACAAUGGGCGCAAGCCUGAUCCAGCCAUACCGCGUGGGUGAAGAAGGCCUUCGGGUUGUAAAGCCCUUUUGUUGGGAAAGAAAAGCAGCAGGUUAAUACCCCGCUGUUCUGACGGUACCCAAAGAAUAAGCACCGGCUAACUUCGU
rnacentral:rRNA from 1 species